CCGCCCCCACACCCCUCCGGCGGGCAGCGCAGGCGCGGGAGGAGCUCCUCACAGCAAACCCAGGCAGUCUUCUCUCCAUUUCUUGCAUUUGACCCCAUCCUCCUCCACCUUCCCCAGCUCAGGCUUUGCAAGGAGCAAAUGAAGAGACAAAAAGGAUCCUGUGACUCAAAACCAACAGAACAAACAGAUUCUUCAUUGAGGAGCAUAGCAGAAUUACUUCAGAUGGCUACCACCAUCCACAUUCCUGCAACUGAUUCCAUACAAGACAGCACAAAAAGACAAAACACAACCAACUGUGACAGAAUAUAAAAAACAGCAUGAGCUGCCUACA